AUUGAACGCUGGCGGUAUGCCUAACACAUGCAAGUCGAACGGCAGCACGGUAAAGAUUUCGGGCUUUAUGGGUGGCGAGUGGCGGACGGGUGAGUAAUAGGUAGGAAUCUGUCCUGGAGAGUGGGAUAACACGCGGAAACGCGUGCUAAUACCGCAGAAUAUUGAGAAACCAAAGCAGGGGACCCUUCAGGUCCUUGCGCCACAGGCUGAGCCUACGUCGGAUUAGCCAGUUGGGGGGGUAAUGGCCUACCAAGGCGACGACCCGGAGCUGGUCGGAGAGGAUGACCAGCCACACUGGGACUGAGACACGGCCCAGACUCCUACGGGAGGCAGCAGUGGGGAAUCUUGGACAAUGGGGGAAACCCUGAUCCAGCGAUACCGCGUGUGUGAAGAAGGCCUUCGGGUUGUAAAGCACUUUAGGUGGGGAAGAAAGGUGCGAGAGAAAUAUUUUCGUACUGUGACGGUACCCACAGAAUAAGCACCGGCUAACUCUGUGCCAGCCGCCGCCGUAA
rnacentral:rRNA from 1 species